UGGUCUAUUUUCACGCAAAAGCCGACUGCAAUUUGCAGCCGUAUGUCAGUCAAUAUUUAUAAACUUGCUGUGAUCAGCUACCGUACUACAAGAAAAUAUGAAAAUAAAUAACUCUGAAUUGGUCACUACUAGUUAGACAACCAACAGUACCCUUGAUAACACAGCAUAAUUAUCAAACAGUAUUUUGGGUGGCAUAGUCACUAUCACAAGGGUCUGUCAUUGACACCGACGCGAAAGGUUUUACUUUUUGGUUGGAGGUCAGGAAGUCAAGUUCACGUGCCAAUGUGAGGAAAAUUAGGGGUUUUCCUUUGAACGUUUGGAAGGAAUAGCGUGAGGGGUCGGAUAGUUGUGGAAUUGAUGUCUGGUGGGUUUUGGUUUUGUUUGUCAAUCGGCCGAUGUAACGGACUUUUGCUGAGCGGAAGCAAGGGUUAGAAGCGUGUUUUCUAUGCCGGUGUGCUAGGGAAAUUUUAUAUUUUCCCGGAUAAUCACAGCCCUCUUUGAGGGUGCAAGUGUGAGGUCCUAGGUAUACCUACCCAAAUAUAUUAGUCUUCGCAUGGCAUAGGGUUCUGCCUAAGGUGAAGUCACAAUGAUUAAAUACCAAGCUUAACGACUGAAGUUUGGCUAUGUAAGUAAGGGAAAGCAGAAAUCGAAAGGUAGGAGGAUUUUUCCUUUUUUUUCUUUGGAGUAUUGGAUUUUCAA
rnacentral:lncRNA from 1 species